rnacentral:rRNA from 1 species
GGCGCACGGGUGCGGAACACGUGUGCAACCUGCCUUUAUCUGGGGGAUAGCCUUUCGAAAGGAAGAUUAAUACCCCAUAAUAUAUUGAGUGGCAUCACUUGAUAUUGAAAACUCCGGUGGAUAGAGAUGGGCACGCGCAAGAUUAGAUAGUUGGUGAGGUAACGGCUCACCAAGUCAAUGAUCUUUAGGGGGCCUGAGAGGGUGAUCCCCCACACUGGUACUGAGACACGGACCAGACUCCUACGGGAGGCAGCAGUGAGGAAUAUUGGACAAUGGGUGAGAGCCUGAUCCAGCCAUCCCGCGUGAAGGACGACUGCCCUAUGGGUUGUAAACUUCUUUUAUACUGGGAUAAACCUACCCUUCGUGAGGGUAGCUGAAGGUACAGUAUGAAUAAGCACCGGCUAACUCCGUGCCAGCAGCCGCGGUAAUACGGAGGGUGCAAGCGUUAUCCGGAUUUAUUGGGUUUAAAGGGUCCGUAGGCGGACUCGUAAGUCAGUGGUGAAAUCUCAUAGCUUAACUAUGAAACUGCCAUUGAUACUGCGGGUCUUGAGUAAAGUAGAAGUGGCUGGAAUAAGUAGUGUAGCGGUGAAAUGCAUAGAUAUUACUUAGAACACCAAUUGCGAAGGCAGGUCACUAUGUUUUAACUGACGCUGAUGGACGAAAGCGUGGGGAGCGAACAGGAUUAGAUACCCUGGUAGUCCACGCCGUAAACGAUGCUAACUCGUUUUUGGGUUUUCGGAUUCAGAGACUAAGCGAAAGUGAUAAGUUAGCCACCUGGGGAGUACGUUCGCAAGAAUGAAACUCAAAGGAAUUGACGGGGGCCCGCACAAGCGGUGGAUUAUGUGGUUUAAUUCGAUGAUACGCGAGGAACCUUACCAAGGCUUAAAUGGGAAUUGACAGGUUUAGAAAUAGAUCCUUCUUCGGACAAUUUUCAAGGUGCUGCAUGGUUGUCGUCAGCUCGUGCCGUGAGGUGUUAGGUUAAGUCCUGCAACGAGCGCAACCCCUGUCACUAGUUGCCAUCAUUCAGUUGGGGACUCUAGUGAGACUGCCUACGCAAGUAGAGAGGAAGGUGGGGAUGACGUCAAAUCAUCACGGCCCUUACGCCUUGGGCCACACACGUAAUACAAUGGCCGGUACAGAGGGCAGCUACUAUGCGAAUAGAUGCGAAUCUCGAAAGCCGGUCU